rnacentral:lncRNA from 1 species
GUCUACGUCAACCGUGUGGCGACAACAACAGCAAACGAAUGGAAGGACGAUGCUGAUAAAUUGAUGCCGGUUAAGAGGUGGCUGGAAGAACGAAGACUCCUGCAGGUACAGAAAAAAGGGAGUGAGCACAUACAUAAUGCCGCUGCAAUCCCAUUAUCUAAAUUUAAAUAUGUCAUAUCGAUCAUCCAGGGAGAGAUACAACGGCUGCGCGACAAGAUAGCCAUAGCAGAGAGGUCUGCAAAGGUGGAAGCCCAACUUAAUGUAAGAAAUUCUGCAAGACUAUCCCGAGCAACCAUGAGCACUCAAUUCUUACAUUGUUGUUUCAACUUCUAUUGCUUUAAUUCUUUCAAAGGAUAAACUCAAAAGGAGACUGAAAUCUUUGGAAGAGGACAUGAGAAAUGGAAAGCCCAACACACCUGCCAGUGAUGCCAAUAGGAGAGGCACUCCGAAAAGAUCAACAUCUCAACCAAGACAGCCAAGCACACCCAGAAUGUCACAGCAACUGGCUUCAUUCGAAGGCAUUGUUGACAAGAGAAGACCAACAUCCCAACCAAGGGCGGCUGUGGGAGGGAAGGUGCUGAAGCAACCUAAUUCGGACACCGAGCCUGCAGAGAAGACGAGAAACAUUAAACAACCUGACAGCCCAAGAGUGAGAACUGCUGCUGCUAGAAAGGAGCGUCCUGUGAGAAAUCACCUGUGGGCGACAAGAAGUAAAGUGACCAGCGAUGCUGGCAAAGAGAACAAGGAGCAGAAUCCAAAUUACAAGCCACAUUCAAGCGCUCCACAUGAGCAGG